rnacentral:rRNA from 1 species
AUUGAACGCUGGCGGCAGGCCUAACACAUGCAAGUCGAGCGGAUGAAGGGAGCUUGCUCCUGGAUUCAGCGGCGGACGGGUGAGUAAUGCCUAGGAAUCUGCCUGGUAGUGGGGGAUAACGUCCGGAGACGGGCGCUAAUACCGCAUACGUCCUGAGGGAGCAAGUGGGGGAUCUUCGGACCUCACGCUAUCAGAUGAGCCUAGGUCGGAUUAGCUAGUUGGUGGGGUAAAGGCCUACCAAGGCGACGAUCCGUAACUGGUCUGAGAGGAUGAUCAGUCACACUGGAACUGAGACACGGUCCAGACUCCUACGGGAGGCAGCAGUGGGGAAUAUUGGACAAUGGGCGAAAGCCUGAUCCAGCCAUGCCGCGUGUGUGAAGAAGGUCUUCGGAUUGUAAAGCACUUUAAGUUGGGAGGAAGGGCAGUAAGUUAAUACCUUGCUGUUUUGACGUUACCAACAGAAUAAGCACCGGCUAACUUCGUG